rnacentral:rRNA from 1 species
AGUGAACGCUGGCGGUAGGCCUAACACAUGCAAGUCGAACGGCAGCACAGUAAGAGCUUGCUCUUACGGGUGGCGAGUGGCGGACGGGUGAGGAAUACAUCGGAAUCUACUUUUUCGUGGGGGAUAACGUAGGGAAACUUACGCUAAUACCGCAUACGACCUACGGGUGAAAGCAGGGGAUCUUCGGACCUUGCGCGAUUGAAUGAGCCGAUGUCGGAUUAGCUAGUUGGCGGGGUAAAGGCCCACCAAGGCGACGAUCCGUAGCUGGUCUGAGAGGAUGAUCAGCCACACUAGAACUGAGACACGGUCCAGACUCCUACGGGAGGCAGCAGUGGGGAAUAUUGGACAAUGGGCGGAAGCCUGAUCCAGCCAUACCGCGUGGGGGAAGAAGGCCUUCGGGUUGUAAAGCCCUUUUGUUGGGAAAGAAAAGCAGCAGGUUAAUACCCCGCUGUUCUGACGGUACCCAAAGAAUAAGCACCGGCUAACUUCGUG